rnacentral:lncRNA from 13 species
AGGUCAUUUCAACAAUCUUGACCUCAUGCGAGGAUCAGACAUCAAAUGCACCUUGCUUCUCCACAGUAGGAAAGAAAAUAUCUGAUAUGUCCCUUGAGGUCAACAUAUUGGUAGGUGAUGUUCUGUCUCAGCUGAAGGACAUCUCCUUGUCAAGGUCCCCAACACCAUGUGAAGACAUGUUUGAACGUCUCCAAGGUUCUACUGAGCGAACCUCUCCAGUAAGUCUAGAUUGCAGCACGGCUGCCUCCAAAGGCAUUGCAUCNNNNNNNNNNCAUUGUCACAUCUGAUGACAACAUCACAACUUGCACCAAAGAAGUCAUCUCAGAGCUUCUGGUCUUGUACAAGACUGAGAUGUCAAAGGAGGACCCCCUGUACACUGUUGGAGAAAAAGGAUCAGACUUCUCUAUUGAGAGACAACAAUUUGUAGAGGGCGUUCUGGCUCAGCUUGGGGAUAUCUCCCAUUCCAGGGCCUCAUCACCAAUAGUAUAUGAGUUCCCCUGUCAAAUUGAGGACAGCAGAAGUAAGGCCACAGCUUCUUUGACCAGUCUGUUAGAUUGCAUGAAACAACUAUCAAGUGAGGAAUUCAAGAGAGACACCACUCAAGCAGUGAGUGAGUUCCUAGUUAAAAAGUCCAACAGUAGCUUAACUAGUGCAAAGCCUGCUUAUUCUGUAGCAUCCAGGUCUUGUUCCGUUCAAAACCAGAGAACCUUGUCAAAGGAUAUUUGUGCAGUUUCUGCUGCCUUUGGCAUCAUUGACACAUUUGUGGAAGACCUGCAGAGCUUGGCGCAACCUGCAGAAGUAGAGGAGAGAGAACCUGACCUCCAGGAAAAUGCACAAAAGCGAAAGAGCAGGAUCUGGUCUGCUACUACUAGUUUAUAUAAAAAUAUUAAGAAGACAUUAAAGGGCUUCACCAUUCACCGGCGGAGGUCAGACGUGCAGAGAAGAAUGUCUAGCCAUACACCCACAGAGGACUCUGGACAUCUUGUGACUAAGGAGUACCUUGGUUUGGAAAGCCAGAACUUGACGCAAGCUAGUAAGAGUGUGCCUCACUUGCCCAGUUUGAACCAGGAAGUGACUCUACACAUGGGUGUCAGCGAGAGUUCAAAACUUCUCUGGACUGAAACAGACGAGGGUCUAAUGAACAAUAGUACCAAAGAGGUCAUUUCAACAAUCUUGACCUCAUGCGAGGAUCAGACAUCAAAUGCACCUUGCUUCUCCACAGUAGGAAAGAAAAUAUCUGAUAUGUCCCUUGAGGUCAACAUAUUGGUAGGUGAUGUUCUGUCUCAGCUGAAGGACAUCUCCUUGUCAAGGUCCCCAACACCAUGUGAAGACAUGUUUGAACGUCUCCAAGGUUCUACUGAGCGAACCUCUCCAGUAAGUCUAGAUUGCAGCACGGCUGCCUCCAAAGGCAUUGCAUCUUCCCACAGUCUUUCAACAAAGAGCCUCCAAAAACUUUCUAGUCAUGAGUUCCAAACCAAAGCUGAGAAAGGAGUGAGUGAGGUCCUCUCUAGAUCAUUUAACAUUGUGGAGGAAGGUACAACAGAUAAGUACCUCCAGUCUGUAUCUACAUCCACCACAUCUACUGAUAUUAUACAAACCAUAGUGAAAGAUCUGCAGGAGCUCACCCAGACCACCCAAUCAUCUGACAUGGUAUCUGGAACCUCCCUGCUCACCACUGGACAGGUUUCUGAGAAAAUAAUAUGGUCUGUCGCUCGUAACAUCUACUACAGUCUGCAAAGUAAGAUUACGGAGUUUCUCAGAAAAGAUCUUCAAAUGUCAGACACAACACUUGGUUCAAUCCAAAUAUUUACAUAUCAAAGCGGUCCUGCUUCACAAAGAGCAAGUCUCUGCCAUCUUGAGGUCAACCAGAGCAGUGUUACACCUGGUGGAAACGAUGCCUGUGUGGACAUUCCGCACAAAUUACUACCUAAAACCACUAAGCUCUCAGGAUCCAUGCUGGAGGAUAUUGGCACGAUCCGUUGUAGGAGUGCUGACAGCCAAAAUACAAGAAAUACCUCUUCUUCACGCUCCUCCAUCUCUCUAACACCUACUUCAAAAUCAAAGCAGUCAGAAUGGGACUUCACCUUGCCCGGUACUCCCAUCCCCACUGAACUAUCUGCUCAGAGUGACUUUCCCAUUUUAAGAAACUUGAUCAUUCAGGACUUGUUUCACACAGAGAACUUACUUCCCCCAUCCUUUGUGGACAAAGUCAGGCAAGCUGCUGGGGUGGUAGUGGACGAAAUGGUGGAAAGUGUUGAGAACACACAGGAAGAUGGACAGGGUGCUUCUCAUCCUGACAACCUCCGAUCUGCUGUUAGGAAAUUGAGAAAAAUAAUUUCCACUGGGACCAUCCACAUUUUCAGUCAUGAAUUUGUGGAUAAAGUGAUAGCCCUUCAGGACAGCCACAGCACUCCACAGGUCUUAACAUUGGCAGCAGCCAGAAGUGCUUCAGACUCCAUUCUUUCAAGGCGGCUGAAAUGGGGAAAUGAACAAUGUGCCAUAUCCAAGGAGCUCUCCUCUCAGCUUCUCCAGAUAUUUGCUGAAGAGACAGUGAAGUGCUUCCUGAGACAGUGGUCAGAUGAGUAUGAAAACAUAAACUUUGAUGUUUCAGUCCAGAACGAUCCAAAGACUUCUACUUGCAUGGUCAUUCUUCAAAUGAUCACCAAAGCCACUGCUAAAUGUUAUUUUGAGUCCGCUACCAGCGUGGCCACCAGUGACAUUGUAGAAGGCGUGUUUGAUUUGGAAAGGGAUACCAUCAGCAGUACUGGAGAGCAGGUCCUCACCUUCAAUACNNNNNNNNNNNNNNNNNNNNNNNNNNNNNNNNNNNNNNNNNNNNNNNNNNNNNNNNNNNNNNNNNNNNNNNNNNNNNNNNNNNNNNNNNNNNNNNNNNNNCUAACAUACCAUUCACUAACAUACAGACCUGACCAUACCAUUCACUAACAUACAGUCCCGUACAUACCAUUCACUAACAUACAGUCCCGUACAUACCAUUCACUAACAUACAGUCUUGUAUAUACCAUUCACUAACAUACAGACCUGACCAUACCAUUCACUAACAUACAGUCCUGUAUAUACCAUUCACUAACAUACAGUCCUGUAUAUACCAUUCACUAACAUACCAUUCACUAACAUACAGUCCUGUAUAUACCAUUCACUAACAUACAAUCCUGUACAUACCUGAAGGGAACAUUUUGACAUUUUCCAUAUGGUUAGUGAGAACGUCCACAUUGCAAAUGUUCAGUCUCUUACUAGACGUCCGCGAACAUUUCUAAAAUCAGCGGACGGCGUCGGGCCGUGCAGCAGGUCCGGAUCUUCCAGGAAGUCAUCAAUCUCUCGGUUUCCGUUUUAUAACCUUUUCAAAUCUUGGUCAUUUUUCCGCUGUCCUGGUAAAUCCCACAAGAGGUCAAAUGGAAUCAUAUUGCAAAUGUACAAAACACCACCAAUCACGACGUGGUCUUUUCUCCUCAGCGGAAAAGACUUCGAAGACGAAACUUGGUGAGCAUAGGUUUGGCAUAAUGGGCAGUUGGCCCCGAACAAGAUGGCGUUGAGGCCUCAACGGUUUUUGAGUUAUGGCCAUUUUUCUGGGAUUAAAGGUCAAAAAUGAAAAUAGAGCGUUAAUUUGACCGCUUCACGUCAAAGUAAAUGAACCUACGGUGUCAGGAAAAAAAGAACCAGCCAUUUAUCUAUCGUAAUUUAAGAGAAAUCGUACAAUGUACAAUUAGUGAUGUUCAAAAAAAGGUGUUUAAAAAAUAAAUGAAGGUACAGAUCCAGUUGCAGCGUGUUCAGACAAAUCUUUUUGAAGUGUGUUUCGGAGCUCUGUGAGAUUUCUGUGAUUUUCUGAAAUAACACACACUCAUUCAACCCUCUGUAAAUAAGUCAGUUCUUAACAUAAAGACUUAAAACUCAAAAUUCUAUAAGUGCCUACCCCAAGGAGGAUAUGUGUUUCAGCUUCCUGUGUCAACCGGAAGUGCCUUAAAAUGGUGUCAUAGGUGCUGUUUCGAAGGGUUAAAAAGGUAUGAUCUUUUCAAAACUUCAUUUGUGUGAUUAGGCAACCCUCAUGAACUGUAAGUUAGUCAUUUCUCCCAACAGAUGUUAAAGAAAAGCUCUCUCUCUCACACACACACACAGCAAGGAUGGACUGACAAAGUGCGGUGCUUAAAGAAACUCAGAGCCUGCAAUGGCAUCAUAAUCUCUAGGCUGUGCCGAGUUCAACG